GACGAACGCUGGCGGCGUGCCUAAUACAUGCAAGUAGAACGCUGAAGAGAGGAGCUUGCUCUUCUUGGAUGAGUUGCGAACGGGUGAGUAACGCGUAGGUAACCUGCCUUGUAGCGGGGGAUAACUAUUGGAAACGAUAGCUAAUACCGCAUAACAAUGGAUGACACAUGUCAUUUAUUUGAAAGGGGCAAUUGCUCCACUACAAGAUGGACCUGCGUUGUAUUAGCUAGUAGGUGAGGUAAUGGCUCACCUAGGCGACGGUACAUAGCCGACCUGAGAGGGUGAUCGGCCACACUGGGACUGAGACACGGCCCAGACUCCUACGGGAGGCAGCAGUAGGGAAUCUUCGGCAAUGGGGGCAACCCUGACCGAGCAACGCCGCGUGAGUGAAGAAGGUUUUCGGAUCGUAAAGCUCUGUUGUAAGUCAAGAACGGGUGUGAGAGUGGAAAGUUCACACUGUGACGGUAGCUUACCAGAAAGGGACGGCUAACUACGUG
rnacentral:rRNA from 1 species